rnacentral:rRNA from 1 species
CCCGUAAUCGGUACGGGUUGUGGGAGCAAGAGCCCGGAGUUGGAUUCUGAGACACGAAUCCAGGCCCUACGGGGCGCAGCAGGCGCGAAAACUUUACAAUGCGGGCAACCGUGAUAAGGGAACCUCGAGUGCCUGUAAAUGCAGGCUGUUCAGGUGCCUAAAACACACCUGAAGAAAGGGCCGGGCAAGACCGGUGCCAGCCGCCGCGGUAAUACCGGCGGCUCGAGUGGUGGCCGCUUUUAUUGGGCUUAAAGCGUUCGUAGCUGGGUUGUUAAGUCUCUUGGGAAAUCUGGCGGCUUAACCGUCAGGCGUCUAAGGGAUACUGGCAACCUUGGAACCGGGAGGGGUGAGGGGUACUUCGGGGGUAGGAGUGAAAUCCUGUAAUCCUCGAGGGACCACCUGUGGGGAAGGCGCCUCACCAGAACGGCUUCGACAGUGAGGGACGAAAGCUGGGGGAGCAAACCGGAUUAGAUACCCGGGUAGUCCCAGCCGUAAACUAUGCGCGUUAGGUGUAUCGGUGACCACGAGUUACCGAGGUGCCGAAGGGAAACCGUGAAACGUGCCGCCUGGGAAGUACGGUCGCAAGGCUGAAACUUAAAGGAAUUGGCGGGGGAG